rnacentral:rRNA from 1 species
AGGACGAACGGCUGGCGGCGUUGCUUAACACAUGCAAGUCGAACGAAGCGGCAGUGAAGGAGGCUUCGGCCAAUGGAACUGUCGACUUAGUGGCGACGGGUGAGUAACGCGUGAGCAACCUGCCUUUCAGAGGGGGAUAAACGUUUUGGAAACGAACGCUAAUACCGCAUAAUGUAUUUUUGCUGCAUGACAGAGAUACCAAAGGAGCGAUCCGCUGAAAGAUGGGCUCGCGUCCGAUUAGAUAGUUGUGGGGUAACGGCCUACCAAGUCGACGAUCGGUAGCCGGACUGAGAGGUUGAACGGCCACAUUGGGACUGAGACACGGCCCAGACUCCUACGGGAGGCAGCAGUGGGGAAUAUUGCACAAUGGGCGCAAGCCUGAUGCAGCAACGCCGCGUGAGGGAAGACGGUUUUCGGAUUGUAAACCUUUGUCCUUGGUGAAGAUUAUGACGGUAGCCGAGGAGGAAGCCACGGCUAACUACGUGCC